rnacentral:rRNA from 1 species
UACGUAGGGUGCGAGCGUUAAUCGGAAUUACUGGGCGUAAAGGGUGCGCAGGCGGCUAUAUAAGUUAGAUGUGAAAUCCCUAAGCUUAACUUAGGAAUGGCAUUUGAUACUGUAUAGCUAGAGUUUAUCAGAGGGAGGUAGAAUUCCAAGUGUAGCAUUGAAAUGCGUAGAUAUUUGGAGGAAUACCGGUGGCGAAGGCGGCCUUCUGGGAUAAAACUGACGCUCAGGCACGAAAGCGUGGGUAGCAAACAGG